rnacentral:rRNA from 1 species
GAUUGAACGCUGGCGGCAUGCCUUACACCUGCAAGUCGAACGGCAGCGCGGACUUCGGUCUGGCGGCGAGUGGCGAACGGGUGAGUAAUACAUCGGAACGUACCCUGUUGUGGGGGAUAACUAGUCGAAAGAUUAGCUAAUACCGCAUACGACCUGAGGGUGAAAGUGGGGGAUCGCAAGGCCUCACGCAGCAGGAGCGGCCGAUGUCUGAUUAGCUAGUUGGUGGGGUAAAGGCCCACCAAGGCGACGAUCAGUAGCUGGUCUGAGAGGACGAUCAGCCACACUGGGACUGAGACACGGCCCAGACUCCUACGGGAGGCAGCAGUGGGGAAUUUUGGACAAUGGGGGCAACCCUGAUCCAGCAAUGCCGCGUGUGUGAAGAAGGCCUUCGGGUUGUAAAGCACUUUUGUCCGGAAAGAAAUCGCGCUGGUUAAUACCUGGCGUGGAUGACGGUACCGGAAGAAUAAGCACCGGCUAACUACGUG